rnacentral:rRNA from 1 species
AUGGCGGUGCAUCCCCAGACGCCGCCGCUGGCCGUCGCCGUCCCUGACCACCAGACAAGCACGGAGCGGCCGCUGCCGCCACUCCACUCCCGCGCUGUGCCUGACUUGCCGCAAGCCUCCGCCCUCCAUCACCAGUGCGCUGCCACCGCAUGGAGCUUCCAGCGCCAAGAUUCCCUUGUGCACCAUCAGCUACAACCUAGGCUGCGUGGCUACUUCCCACCCCGUUGUGCUUCAGAUUCUGUAGAGCUUCAGGUUCAGAGCUUUUCCCUUCUGAAAUUCAGUAAGUUGGCUUGGGUGAAUGCUGCGUCUGGUUCAGUUGCAAGCCGUCCUCUGUUUUGCUGUUGUUGUCUGUCUACUUCUGCUUUAUAG